AUGCUGAACUCUCGCUCAGCCAUGGAGAAGGCGUGCUCCAAGUUACGACGGGGGUCAUCGGCAUGGAGACGGCGGUAAUCAAACAAAUCAACAGAGCCUCCUUCGCCGAGCGAUGAGCCACACUACCUCCUCCACCAGCCUGAGGAGAGAGUGAGAGGAGAAGAGGGAAGGAAAUGAGGAGAGGAGAGGAGAGGAGAGGAAGGCAGGAAAGAAAGGAAGGAAGGAUGGAAGGACAGAAGAAAGGAAGGAAAAGCACAGUUAGAACAACAAAGAAAGAAUAGCCACAAGGAAUGGUGUGGGUUUAAUUCCCUACCUCGUCCAGGUUGAUGGGUCCGAUCUGGAACCUGAGGAUGAUGAUCCAAAGCAGACCGAGAAUCAGCGUGCGGUCUCCGUCCACCACAUUCUCUGGACCAAUCAGAUCCACCCGAAUCUGAAAGAAAAGAUCCGGAGGGGGUUGAGAAAGAUUUACAUUUUCUGGACUCUGAAUGACAUGUGGGAGCCGUCUUUGGACUUGGACAGGUGAGUUACCAUGGUUUUAAUGCAUCAGAGUGACUUGGAAAGACAGUGGACUCUCAGUUUGCGGCGGCUGGGCGGCGGCAGCUUCUCUCUGGAGAUGAACUCCAGCAGACGAAUCAGAACGACUCCGGUC